AGCGAACGCUGGCGGCAGGCUUAACACAUGCAAGUCGAGCGGGCAUCCUUGUGGUGUCCGCGGCAGACGGGUGAGUAACGCGUGGGAACGUGCCCUUCGGUUCGGAGUAACUCAGGGAAACUUGAGCUAAUACCGGAUACGUGCGAGAGCAGAAAGGUUUAUCUGCCGAAGGAUCGGCCCGCGUCUGAUUAGCUAGUUGGUGAGGUUAUGGCUCACCAAGGCGACGAUCAGUAGCUGGUCUGAGAGGAUGAUCAGCCACACUGGGACUGAGACACGGCCCAGACUCCUACGGGAGGCAGCAGCGGGGAAUAUUGGACAAUGGGGGCAACCCUGAUCCAGCCAUGCCGCGUGAGUGAUGACGGCCUUAGGGUUGUAAAGCUCUUUUCUUCGGGACGAUAAUGACGGUACCGGAGGAAUAAGCCCCGGCUAACUUCGUG
rnacentral:rRNA from 1 species